rnacentral:rRNA from 1 species
UACGUAGGUGACAAGCGUUGUCCGGAUUUACUGGGCGUAAAGGGCGCGUAGGCGGUUGGAUAAGUCAGCUGUGAAAACCACGGGCUUAACUCGUGGCCUGCAGUUGAGACUGUCUGGCUUGAGUGUGGGAGAGGAGAGUGGAAUUCCUGGUGUAGCGGUGAAAUGCGCAGAUAUCAGGAGGAACACCGGUGGCGAAGGCGGGUCUCUGGGCCGAUACUGACGCUGAGGAGCGAAAGCGUGGGGAGCGAACAGG